GGAGUUAGCCGGUGCUUCUUCUGUGAGUGAUGUCCUUCCUGCCGGCUAUUAACCCGCAGGCCUUCUUCCUCACUGAAAGUGCUUUACAACCCGAAGGCCUUCUUCACACACGCGGCAUGGCUGGAUCAGGGUUGCCCCCAUUGUCCAAUAUUCCCCACUGCUGCCUCCCGUAGGAGUCUGGGCCGUGUCUCAGUCCCAGUGUGGCUGAUCAUCCUCUCAGACCAGCUACGGAUCGUCGCCUUGGUGAGCCGUUACCUCACCAACCAGCUAAUCCGACAUAGGCUCAUCCGAUAGCGCGAGGCCCGAAGGUCCCCCGNUUUCCCCCGUAGGGCGUAUGCGGUAUUAGCCUGGGUUUCCCCAGGUUAUCCCCCACUACCGGGCAGAUUCCUAUGCAUUACUCACCCGUCCGCCGCUCGCCACCAGGGAGCAAGCUCCCCGUGCUGCCGCUCGACUUGCAUGUGUUAGGCCUGCCGCCAGCGUUCAAUCUGAACCAAGAUCAAAUUCUGA
rnacentral:rRNA from 1 species